rnacentral:misc_RNA from 1 species
AAGACUAUAGACCUGCGGAGUACCUGCGGAGGGAUCAUUACAGGACUCGCAAGACUCCUACAACCCUGUGAACUUAACUAUAAGCACGUUGCUUCGGCGGGUGUCUCGGCGAGGGUUCUCCCUCCCCGGGGCGCUAAGCCCGCCGGCAGCCUACUAUACUCUGUCUCUUUGCGUUGGCAUCUCGAGUACAAACAAACAAGUUAAAACUUUCAACAACGGAUCUCUAGAUCGGAAGAGCAC